UCGUGGCUCAGCCCUGUAAAGCAUGGAAACUGAUAACUUGAGUAGUGGAGAGGAAAGUGGAAUUCCUAGUGUAGUGGUGAAAUACGUAGAUAUUAGGAGGAAUGUCAGUAGCGAAGGCGAUUUCUGGACACAAACUGAUGCUGAGGUACGAAAGCGUGGGGAGCAAACAGGAUUAUAUAACUUGGUAGUGCAAUCCGUAAACGAUGAAUGUUAGGCGUUGGGGGUCAAACCUCGGUGCGGAAGUUAAUACAUUAAGCAUUCCGCCUGGGGAGUACGCACGCAAGUGUGAAACUCAACGGAAUUGACGGGGACCCGCACAAGCAGCGGAGCACGUGGUUUAAUUAGAUGCAACGCGCAGAACCUUUCCAGGGCUUGACAUGCGGGUGAAAGGUAUAGAGAUAUACCCCUCUCUUUAUGAGACAUCCAUACAGUUGGUGCAUGGUUGUCGUCAGCUAGCGUCGUGAGAUGUUGGGUUAAGUCCUGCAACGAGCGCAACCCCUAUAUUUAGUUACCAGCCAAUAAUGUCGGGGACUCUAAGUAGACUCCCGAUGACAAAUCGGAGGAAGGUGGGGAUGACGUCAAAUCAUCAUGCCCUUUAUGUCCUGGGCUACACACGUGCUACAAUGGUUGGUACAGAGGGAAGCUAUAUAGUGAUAUAAUGCAAAACUCCAAAGCCAAUCCCAGUUUGGAUUGUAGGCUGCAACUAGCGUACACGAAGUCGGAGUUUCUAGUAAUCGCGGAUCAGAACGUCGCGGUGAAUCCGUUCCCGGGUCUUGUACACACCCCCCGUCACACCAUGGGAGUUGAUAAUACCCGAAGCCUGUGACCCCCUGAGGAGCAGUGGAAGGUAGGAUUGAUGACUG
rnacentral:rRNA from 1 species